AUACGUAGGGGACGAGCGUUGUCCGGAAUUACUGGGCGUAAAGGGCGCGCAGGCGGUAUAUCAAGUCAGCUGUCAAAGACUGGGGCUCAACCCUGGUAUGCGGUUGAAACUGAUAUGCUGGAGUGCUGUAGAGGCCAGUGGAAUUCCCAGUGUAGCGGUGAAAUGGGUAGAUAUUGGGAAGCACACCGGGGGCGAAGGCGACUUGCUGGGCAGCAACUGACGCUGAGGCGCGAAAGCCAGGGGAGCAAACGGGAUUAGAUACCCCGGUAGUCCUGGCCGUAAACGAUGAAUGCUAGGUGUGUGUGUAGAGAUACAUGCGUGCCGGAGUUAACGCGAUAAGCAUUCCGCCUGGGGAGUACGGUCGCAAGAUCGAAACUCAAAUGAAUCGACGGGG
rnacentral:rRNA from 1 species